rnacentral:rRNA from 1 species
GCCCCGUAUAAUGCGCCCUCACGACGCGGCGUUACUGCCGCACCGGACUCCGGUCCGGAUUGUUCUUUACCAACCGAGUGGAGAUGUGUGGGGUUUAGGCCCAGGGGUAUUAUUGGUGUUUAUGCACUGGUGAUUACCCUGAGCAGUAUUGUUUUAAAAUGGAUUGAACGAGAGAGUUUGAUCCUGGCUCAGAUUGAACGCUGGCGGCAUGCCUAACACAUGCAAGUCGAACGGUAGCAGGCCUUCGGGUGCUGACGAGUGGCGGACGGGUGAGUAAUGCGUAGGAAUCUGUCUUUUAGUGGGGGACAACCCAGGGAAACUUGGGCUAAUACCGCAUGAGCCCUGAGGGGGAAAGCGGGGGAUCUUCGGACCUCGCGCUAAGAGAAGAGCCUACGUCUGAUUAGCUAGUUGGUAGGGUAAAGGCCUACCAAGGCGACGAUC